UACGGAGGAUGCGAGCGUUAUCCGGAUUUAUUGGGUCUAAAGGGCGCGCAGGCGGCCCGUUAAGCCGGCGGUGAAAACACGGGGCCCAACCCCGUGCGUGCCGUCGGAACUGGUGGGCUUGGGUGCGGCGAAGGCGGGCGGAAUGUGUGGUGUAGCGGUGAAAUGCAUAGAUAUCACACAGAACACCGAUUGCGAAGGCAGCCCGCCGUACCGCCACCGACGCUGAGGCGCGAAAGCGUGGGGAUCGAAC
rnacentral:rRNA from 1 species